GCUUGGAUGUGCUUUGUGGAUGCCCAGGGGCUCAAGGGACUGCAGAGCAAACCUGGAUCGUCCGCUGGGCCCCCGAGUGAUGAGUCCUCCUCUGGAGCUGCCCUGGCUCGGGUAGGCCCCCACCAGCACCUCCUCUGUCCCUCCUAGGCUGGAGCCAGGGUCUGGUUUCCAUGCUGGCUUCCUCUUCUCUUCUGUGCAUGGGACCAGCCCCUGCUUCUUCCAGGUGUCCCUGCACCAGCACUGACUACCUUCUCAGCGUGCUGCCAACACCUGAAUUUCCUGAGUAGGGAAAAGUCAUCCACUGUGCUGUAGUCACCUCAAGAGCCAGGGCCUGGGCCACCAGUGUGCUUGUGGCCAGGACUGCAAGGAGAUGCCACCAAAACACCUCCUCUUACGGUGAGAGGAAGGUAGUUGAGGGCAGAACUGGCCCUGGGGACAGAAGGCCACCUUAAGGGUAUGUUGGGCCACCCAGGCAGGACAUGGCCACCUAAGGGGCCAGGUGACCCAGGUGUGGUUUGGGGACUCCUGGGACUCCAGGGAAAUCCUCACCCCACAGGAAGAACAUGUUAUCAGCUCCCUGGUGGGGCUCACCCUCCACAUGGCUCAGCACCAGUAUUUUGUUUUAACAACGGAGCUGAAGGACACAGGCCCAAGUGCCCUUUAAGGAGUGCUUCUCCCUCAAAGACACAUGCUGUGUGACUGUCACACCCAUCAGCACCACCAGGCCCAGGAUCAUCUCUGCUUGAGGGUCCCCUGAAAUCUUCCCAGUGGCUCCACUUCCUCUGUCAAGGUCCAGGAGAGCACUGAAACCCUCCUGUCCAUCGGCCUGAGGCCCCUGCCCUCCAGACAGUGCUGGCAGAGACACUCUGUGGGUGUCUGAGAUAGUAAGAACAGAGUUGUGUCUCACAAACUGACUUCUUACCCUCGGGGCCGGGCACGUGUCUUGCUGGUGGAGUGUUCAGAACUUCCUGAGGAAGGACCAGCUUCUCUGGCGGGACCCCCAGGUCAACUGCAGCCUUCCUCUGCGGUUCCUGAUGGAGCCUGGCCAACGGCUCCCACUCACCCUCCCUCCGUUCACCCACCCACAGUUUAUUUCACACUGUGUCUUGGGUGCCCACUGGGUGCCAGGCACCAGGGCACUGGUUGUCACAGUGCUGCUCUGUCCACCGUGUUUGAAGAAUUCCGUGUUGCCCACAGGAGGGAGAGCCCAGGUUCCUGCCCGGGCUCUGCUGAGCUGGUGACCCUCCUAAGCUGCUCUGAUCUCCACCUCUCUGUCUUCUCCCACUCUCUGUCCCCUCAUCUUCCCACUCCCAUGGGAUU
rnacentral:lncRNA from 1 species